rnacentral:miRNA from 1 species
AGGAAAAUACUGUCUUGAAUGA